rnacentral:rRNA from 1 species
ACGAACGCUGGGCGGCGUGCCUAAUACAUGCAAGUCGAGCGGAGCACUUCGGUGCUUAGCGGCGGACGGGUGAGUAACACGUAGGUAACCUGCCUAUAAGACUGGGAUAACUAUCGGAAACGAUAGCUAAGACCGGAUAACUGGUUUUCUCGCAUGAGAGAAUCAUGAAACACGGAGCAAUCUGUGGCUUAUAGAUGGGCUUGCGGCGCAUUAGCUAGUUGGUAGGGUAACGGCCUACCAAGGCGACGAUGGGUAGCCG